UACGUAGGGGCCUAGCGUUGUCCGGAAUUAUUGGGCGUAAAGAGCUCGUAGGCGGUUCGGCAAGUCGGAUGUGAAAUCUCCACGCUUAACGUGGAGGGGCCAUUCGAAACUGCUGUGACUCGAGUCCGGUAGGGGAGUGUGGAAUUCCCGGUGUAGAGGUGAAAUUCGUAGAUAUUCGCAAGAACACCAGUGGCGAAGGCGGCUCACUGGCCCGGUACUGACGCUGAGGUGCGAAAGCGUGGGGAGCGAACAGG
rnacentral:rRNA from 1 species